rnacentral:rRNA from 1 species
UGGGGAAUAUUGCACAAUGGGCGCAAGCCUGAUGCAGCGACGCCGCGUGGGGGAUGAAGGCCUUCGGGUUGUAAACUCCUUUCGCUAGGGACGAAGCUUUGUUGUGACGGUACCUAGAUAAGAAGCACCGGCUAACUACGUGCCAGCAGCCGCGGUAAUACGUAGGGUGCGAGCGUUGUCCGGAAUUACUGGGCGUAAAGGGCUCGUAGGUGGUUUGUCGCGUCGUCUGUGAAAUUCUGGGGCUUAACUCCGGGCGUGCAGGCGAUACGGGCAUAACUUGAGUGCUGUAGGGGUAACUGGAAUUCCUGGUGUAGCGGUGAAAUGCGCAGAUAUCAGGAGGAACACCGAUGGCGAAGGCAGGUUACUGGGCAGUUACUGACGCUGAGGAGCGAAAGCAUGGUAGCGAACAGGAUUAGAUACCCUGGUAGU